rnacentral:rRNA from 1 species
UACGAGGGGUGCAAGCGUUACUCGGAAUUACUGGGCAUAAAGCGUGCGUAGGCGGUUCGUUAAGUCUGAUGUGAAAGCCCUGGGCUCAACCUGGGAAUGGCAUUGGAAACUGGCGACCUAGAGUGCGGUAGAGGGUAGUGGAAUUCCCGGUGUAGCAGUGAAAUGCGUAGAGAUCGGGAGGAACAUCAGUGGCGAAGGCGACUGCCUGGACCAGCACUGACACUGAGGCACGAAAGCGUGGGGAGCAAACAGG